rnacentral:lncRNA from 1 species
CAGCAACUAAACAGGUAAAUAGGAGAACUUGGCAAUGGAUUGGGCACACUUUGAGGAAACCUGUAGGUACCAUCACUAGACAGGCAUUAGAAUGGAACACCCAAGGACAUCGGAGACCGGGAUGCCAUUUCACAGCUGGAGAAGAUCAAGGCACAAGGAGCUGGAGGAAAUUGGAUAUAUCUGGAGCGAAGCAAAAAGGAUAGCCC